ACCUGGGUGGCUCAGUGGUUGAGCGUCUGACUUUGGCUCAGGUCCAAGGUCCCAGGGUCCUGGGAUCGAGGUCCUGGAAUCCUGGGAUCGAGUCCCACAUCAGGCU
rnacentral:tRNA from 1 species